CAGAUGUGUAACCCCGGCUACUGACUCUCAGGGCACCGUGGUGAAAAUACAGACAGAAUAACCAGUGUGUUAGCUAAGCAGAGUCAGUACUUUGCAAUGGAAUGGAUAAAAUACAUACAAUAAGUUGGUCGUCACAGAGAACUAAUGCAACAUGUUAAAACAACAUUCGCAGAACUGCCCUGAUGAGAUGCAGCACGAAGGGACGAUGCUGUUUUGAUUGAACUACAGACAGAACGCGUCUUUCUGACACCGCAAGAGGCACCAAAUAAACACUUCCUAGUAACUAUUGCUUCAAAUCCCAUGAACUUUCUGUAGCACACCACCUGAGUCCUGGCAAGCAAAGGGAGAUGAUCCACAGCCAGAGCAGCUUUCCCACCAGUUUCCCUUUGAAGGAU
rnacentral:lncRNA from 1 species